rnacentral:RNase_P_RNA from 1 species
CAGAAUCUCCGGUCUGUCGCUGGCACCCUGGGCGGUGCGAGAGGAAAGUCCGGGCAGCACAGGGCACUCCACUUCCGAAAAUAGAAGCUGUUGGCAACAGCAGGAGCCGGUAGAAGAAAACAACCGCCUGGCUACCUUCUCUGAAACACGAAAGGGCAAGCGGGCAAGGGUGAGAAGGUGGUGUAAGAGACCACCAGCCGAUGGGCGAUCAUCGGGCUGUACCGUCUGGAGGCUGCAAGUUCGCGUAUACCGCUGGUUGAGGGUUGCCCGCCCGAGUUAGCCCCUGUUCAGGAAGCUGAUACACGGCGGAGGGUAGAACGCUUAAGCCGCAGGGCAACCUGCGGAUUAGAUAAAUGACAGACACCACGGAUGCCAAAAGCAUCCGGUGGAACAGAACCCGGCUUACAGGGGGUUCUGCUUU